rnacentral:rRNA from 1 species
UCCCAGCGGCCCAAGUGGAAGUCACAUUUACUGGGUCUAAAAAAUUCGUAGCCGGCUUGGUAAGUCUCAUGUAAAAUCAUUACUCUCAAGGUAAUGGCUGCAUGAGAUACUGUCAUGCUAGGGACUGGGGGACGUAACGAGUACGACGAGGGUAGUGGUAAAAUAUGUUAAUCCUUGUUGGACUCACAAGAGCGAAGGCACGUUACGAAAACAGAUCCGACGGUAAGGAAUGAAGGCCAGGGGCGCAAAACGGAUUAGAUACCCGUGUAGUCCUGGCUGUAAACACUGCUCACCAAACAUUGUGAUCUCUUCGGGAGAUUGCAGUGCUGAAGCGAAGGCGAGAGUGAGCUACCUGGGGAGUAUAGUCGCAAGACCGAAACUUAAAGGAAUUGGCGGGGGAGCACUACAACGAGUGACGCGUGCGGUUCAAUUAGAUUCUACCCCGUGAACCUCACCAGGAGCGACAGCAGAAUGAAGGUCAGUCUGAAGGGCUUACCUGACACGCUGAGAGGAGUUGCAUGGCCGACGUCAGCCUGUGUCGUGAGAUGAUCUGUUAAAUCAGGUAACAGGCGAGACCUGCGUGUGUUGUUGCUAUUCGGAGAGAAAGCACACUACACAGACUGCUCCAGCAAUGGAGAGGAAGGUGCAGGCAACGUUAGGUGAGUACGGCCCGAAUCCCCUGGGCGACACGCGCGCGGCAAUGGUAGUAACAAUGAGAUGCAAUGCCGAAAGGCAAAGCUAAUCCCAAAAAUGCUAUCUUAGUUCAGAUUGAGGUUUGAAACUCAGCCUCAUGACGAUGGAAUUCGUAGUAAUCGGAUGUUAGCAGCGUCCGGUGAAUAAUGUUCCUGCUCCU